CCCCUUGCCUGGAUAUCGGAUCUGCCACUGGGAUCAAGUCAUAAGGAACAGCCAAAUUUGUUUGGCUUACUCUCUGACCUGUGUACUGCAUUGGGCCCUCAUACUGAGGCUCAGAGGUAUUUGCUCUGCAGCAGUAUUAAAGGAUCAGUUACCACACCAUCAUCAUCUGUCUCCGGAAGAGAUAAACCAGUGCCCACCCCUUGCCUGGUGAUCGGAUUUUGCUUCUGGGAUCAAGUCAUAAGGAACAGCCAUAUUUGUUUGGUUCACUCUCUGACCUGUGUACUGCAUUGGGCCCUCAUACUGAGACUCAGAGGUAAAAUAUAUUACGGAUUUUCUCCUUAAGACCUGCACCCAUCUUUCCAGUGCUCAGCAGGUGCAUGGAAGAAGCAGUUCAACAGCAGGGACACUUUGCUCCUUCAUGGUGACUAUGUGCUCCUUUGAAUCUUCUGUUGACAGCGAUUCAUUCAAAAAAAAAAAAAAAAAAAAAAACUCAACCAUGAA